UGCGCUUCUAUUCCUUUUAUUCAGCUGGGAAAACUAACGUGCCGCGGCUAUCUCUACGACCUUACUAAGUCGUGCCAUCCCACGACUUGGAUCGAGCGCACGGCUCUCCUAAGGACUCGGGACGCGGACGCACAGAUCGCGCCGUCGUCAGACUAAAACAACCGAAGAAAGACUCUAAAGAAACCUGAAACUUAUUUCAACAUCAACUGCCGGCAAAAUUUAGACUAAGCUAGUCCUCGUGCACGACGUCGACAUGUGCCGCGGCGGUCAUCGGUGACGCCAUGCAGAUUGGGAUCUCGCGGUCAAGCAGUGCAACGAUGGCCUUGAUGGCCGUCAGGGAGAGGGGCGCAACAAAUAUAUCGUCGUAGGCCUUCAUCUCUGCAGCGGUGAUCUUCUGAUCGAGCCCGAUUGUCCCGAGUGUGCGCAGAUUCUGAACUUGAACGCGUCGCUGGCCUGUGGGGGCGCGCCCAUAGCGCAGGUGGGCAGUCGCAGAUCGCCUGCGGCAGGGGGUGAAGUUGAGAGGCCGGCGUGGCUUCUUCCCCGGUGAGAGCGGCGUUCAACUUGUUUGUCGCAGCGGCCAGGAACUGAAUGUAUCAAGUGCUAAUACAUGGAUAUGCUUUGUCACUUUUGUAUGCCGACUCCAUCCAUGUAGCGCCCUUCUGGAUGCCUUCCUAGUGUAAUUAUCUCACCUUCAGAAAAUCGCAUUUGCUUUCUCACCUUCGUUUAUUUUGAUAGUGGAAUG
rnacentral:lncRNA from 1 species